AUUCAGCUGAUGAGUCUCAAAUAGAACGAAACGCGAGUCCUGGAU
rnacentral:hammerhead_ribozyme from 1 species